rnacentral:rRNA from 1 species
UACGGGGGGGGCAAGCGUUGUUCGGAAUUACUGGGCGUAAAGGGCUCGUAGGCGGCCAACUAAGUCAGACGUGAAAUCCCUCGGCUUAACCGGGGAACUGCGUCUGAUACUGGAUGGCUUGAGUUUGGGAGAGGGACGCGGAAUUCCAGGUGUAGCGGUGAAAUGCGUAGAUAUCUGGAGGAACACCGGUGGCGAAGGCGGCGUUCUGGACUGCAACUGACACUGAGGAACGAAAGCCAGGGGAGCAAACGGG